CUGGAGUUCAGAGGUGUGCUUUCCAGAUAUCAUGACCUUUGAUAUUACCUCAUCAUCACCAGUACGGAUAGAGGAUUAAGUUCUCACCAAUGUAGAAACAUUCACACACUUGGGCAGCAGCAUCAGCCAGGACGGUGGAAUGAGCCAGGACACCCAGAACAAAAUCAAGAAAGCCAGGCUUUUGCAUAUAUAAAGCUAAAUUCUGGGAGGUGAAUGAAAGCUUUGCUGCAUGUGAAAAUGUCACAGGCGGAGAGGUGGACUCCUCAACCCCAGCUGGCCAGGAUAUCUGCAUAGCAGGCCCUGGCUGCAUUCGACCGGAUGUGGGAGGGGAGUAGCUGACAUGGCUCCAAUACAGCCAAUCCCAAGUGGGAUUCUGUGCCUGUGGCUCCCUGGCCUGCCUACAUUCCCCCUUCCUUGUGGGGAGUGAGCUGUGAAGACGU